rnacentral:rRNA from 1 species
UACGAAGGGGGCUAGCGUUGUUCGGAAUUACUGGGCGUAAAGCGCACGUAGGCGGACAUUUAAGUCAGGGGUGAAAUCCCAGAGCUCAACUCUGGAACUGCCUUUGAUACUGGAUGUCUGGAGUAUGGAAGAGGUGAGUGGAAUUCCGAGUGUAGAGGUGAAAUUCGUAGAUAUUCGGAGGAACACCAGUGGCGAAGGCGGCUCACUGGCCCGAUACUGACGCUGAUGCACGAAAGCGUGGGGAGCAAACAGG